rnacentral:rRNA from 1 species
AUUGAACGCUGGCGGAAUGCUUUACACAUGCAAGUCGAGCGGCAGCGCGGGGCAACCUGGCGGCGAGCGGCGAACGGGUGAGUAAUGCAUGGAACAUGUCCAUGUCGUGGGGGAUAGCCCGGCGAAAGCCGGAUUAAUACCGCAUACGCCGAGAGGGAAGUGGGGACGCAAGGCUCACGCGAUGGUUGGCCGAUGUCCGAUUAGCUAGUUGGCGGGG